rnacentral:rRNA from 1 species
GAGUUUGAUCGUGGCUCAGGACGAACGCUGGCGGCGCGCUUAACACAUGCAAGUCGAGCGAGAACCAGGCCUUCGGGCCUGGGGACAGCGGCGAACGGGUGGAGUAACACGUGGGUAAUCAGCCCUCGAUACUGGGAUAGCCCGGGGAAACCCGGAUUAAUACCGGAUGGCCCUUUGGAUCCUCGGAUCUGAAGGAAAAGGUAGCUUCGGCCUCCGAUCGAGGACGAGCCCGCGGCGGAUUAGCUUGUUGGUGAGGUAACGGCCCACCAAGGCGACGAUCCGUAGCUGGUCUGAGAGGACGAUCAGCCACACUGGGACUGAGACACGGCCCGAGACUCCUACGGGAGGCAGCAGUGGGGAAUCUUGCGCUAAUGCGGGAAACCGUGACGCAGCGACGCCGCGUGAGGGAAGAAGGCCUCGGUU